GUCUAUGGCCAUGCUACCCUGAACAAACCCAAUCCUAUCUGAUCUCAGAAGCUAAGCAGGGUCGGACCUGGUUAGUACUUGGAUGGGAAGACCAGAUGCGGUAAGUG
rnacentral:rRNA from 1 species